ensembl:processed_transcript Gas5 growth arrest specific 5
ACGCUGAGCAGGAAUGGCAAUGUGGACCUCUGUGAUGGGACAUCUUGUGGGAUCUCACAGCCAGUUCUGUGGCAAAGGAGGAUGAAGGCUUACGAGGUGAGUACUGAAUAGUAAUGAGAAGUUAGGUUGAAAGGACAGUGCCACAAUGAUGACAUCAUAUUUGCUACUCUUGACAGCUGGGGUGACGAUAGCUUUAAACCACCAUGAUUAUAACUGAGGCACACAAAAUAAUGAUUUGGGGGCUACUUACAGAGUAAGCAGUUUUUACAUAAAGAUUUCCCCCCCAGGACUCGUCAGGAAGCUGGAUAACAGAACAAGUGCAAUGUAAGUAAUUUUGUGUGUGCAUGUGGUCCCAUUACAAGGAAUACCCAAUGGCAAAUGAGCACUAAAGAUCCCUCAACACACACAUUGAAUGUAUUGUUCCCUGAGAGCAAUUGUAGAUAGAGGAGUGGGUGGGAAGUCUGAAGUCAGGGCAUUGUUUCUGCCUAUCUGAGUAGGCUGGUUUUUGAUAUUUGUGGGAGCUAGUGGUCGUUAACUCAUUUACCCCCUAUUUGGUGGACUCUGGUUCCCCCAUCUUAAGUGCUGAGUCAGGGGCCUAACCGGGCAGCUUUAACUAUUUGUUUGUUGUAGGUGCUAGAAGACCAGAAAAUGAAAUGGUAAGUGAAACUAAAGGAAUUGUAGAUGCUAAACAGGCUUGGCUUUGUUGCACUCUGCCAAAUACUCUGGCCACGUGUUCCAUCCUGGUCAUAGCUGAACACAGCCUGCAUGAUGACGAACAAAUACUGACUACCUGAAGAUCUUUAUUAGCUCUAUCUGAUGGUGGGCUUCCUUGGCAUUUAUUGUGGGGCAAACUCAAAUCUGUUGACUGCAUUGAAAAGCUCUUUAAUUUUUUUUCUAGGUGGAGUUUGAGGCUGGAUAGACAGUUUGAAAGGUAAGUAUUGAAAAACACUUGAAUUUGGGUCAGUACAAAGGGACAUGCAGAGACUUUGAAUCAUCAAAACUCCAGCAUGCAUUGUCCUACGGAUGUUUAGAUAGGUGUGUUUUGGAUAACACACGGGGUUCUUGUAAUGAUGUUGAUCAAAUGUCUGAGCUGAAAAUAACUUGUAGACAAUUUUUAACACUGAAGAACCCUGUGGCAGGCAACUAAGAAUAGUCGAAUGAUGUUUAGCAUAUUUGUAAGAGGUAUUUUCUUUUAAUUCUAGUUAACUGUGGUUGCAUGCUUGUUCAUUUGGCUGGCUUGCUUGGGUAAGAAGCCAUUGGGGGCCUUGAAUUCCCUCCAGUCAUUUGCAGUAUUUACUGCAUAACAUUUAGCUUUUGAACAUGCAUGUGCUACCAUCAGUACUAAAUGGUGCCUUAAAUUUUUUUCAGGUACAAAUGAUGGUUUGAAUAAAGGUAUAACGCACGGGUCGCCUCAAGUGAAGGCACUGCAAACAAAAUGAUUGGUCAUUCUGAAUUUCCGGUCCUUCAUUCUGAAUUUCAAAGGCUCCUGUGACAAGUGGACAUGCAGUGACUGUACCUUUGUUUCUGAGGUGCCUGGAUGGAGGCUCAAAUAGAAGAUGGUGUCAGAUAUAUUGUGUUGUCAAAAUUUUACCAUUAAAGUGUAUUAUAACAUGAA